rnacentral:rRNA from 1 species
CACGUAGGGUGCGAGCGUUGUCCGGAAUUAUUGGGCGUAAAGAGCUCGUAGGCGGUGUGUCGCGUCGGCCGUGAAAACCUGCAGCUUAACUGUGGGCUUGCGGUCGAUACGGGCAUCACUGGAGUUCGGCAGGGGAGACUGGAAUUCCUGGUGUAGCGGUGAAAUGCGCAGAUAUCAGGAGGAACACCGGUGGCGAAGGCGGGUCUCUGGGCCGAUACUGACGCUGAGGAGCGAAAGCGUGGGGAGCGAACCGG